AUGCUGGGAAAUGUGUCCAUUUUUGAAGUCGGAAGAAUUGCGUUUAGUGAAAAUCACUUUAAGAGGGAGCUGAAUUGGUCAGAGUGUCUUGAGGAUCCGAAUUGUCCAGAAUGUUUAAAGG